GUGGGGAAUCUUCCGCAAUGGACGAAAGUCUGACGGAGCGACGCCGCGUGAGUGAUGAAGGCCUUCGGGUCGUAAAGCUCUGUCGUCGGGGACGAACGGCCGCCUCAGGGAAUGGGGGCGGAGUGACGGUACCCGAGAAGGAAGCCACGGCUAACUACGUGCCAGCAGCCGCGGUAAUACGUAGGUGGCAAGCGUUGUCCGGAAUUAUUGGGCGUAAAGCGCGCGCAGGUGGGAUUUUAAGUCCAUUUUGAAAGUUCGGAGCUUAACUCCGUGAUGGGAUGGAAACUGGGAUUCUUGAGUACCGGAGAGGAAAGCGGAAUUCCCCGUGUAGCGGUGAAAUGCGUAGAUAUGGGGAGGAACACCAGUGGCGAAGGCGGCUUUCUGGACGGUGUCUGACACUGAGGCGCGAAAGCCAGGGGAGCGAACGGGAUUAGAAACCCCGGUAGUCC
rnacentral:rRNA from 1 species